AUAGCUCAGUUGAUAGAGCAUUGGGCUUUUAACCUAAUGGUCGCAGGUUCAAGUCCCACU
rnacentral:tRNA from 1 species